UAGUAACGGCGAGUGAAGCGGGAACAGCUCAAAUUUGAAAUCUGGCCCUUGGGUCCGAGUUGUAAUUUGCAGAGGAUGCUUUUGGUGCGGUGCCUUCCGAGUUCCCUGGAACGGGACGCCUUAGAGGGUGAGAGCCCCGUACGGUUGGCCACCAAGCCUGUGUAAAGCUCCUUCGACGAGUCGAGUAGUUUGGGAAUGCUGCUCAAAAUGGGAGGUAUAUUUCUUCUAAAGCUAAAUACUGGCCAGAGACCGAUAGCGCACAAGUAGAGUGAUCGAAAGAUGAAAAGCACUUUGAAAAGAGGGUUAAAUAGCACGUGAAAUUGUUGAAAGGGAAGGAUUUAUGACCAGACUUUUUCUAGGGGGAUCAUCCGGUGUUCUCACCGGUGCACUUCCCCUAGUUGAGGCCAGCAUCGGUUUCUGUCGGGGGAUAAAAGCUUCAGGAAUGUGGCUCCCUCCGGGGAGUGUUAUAGCCUGUUGCAUAAUACCCUGACGGGGACCGAGGUUCGCGCAUUGCAAGGAUGCUGGCGUAAUGGUUAUUAAUCACCCGUCUUGAAACACGGACCAAGGAGUCGAACAUUUGUGCGAGUGUUUGGGUGUUAAACCCUCACGCGUAAUGAAAGUGAACGGAGGUGAGAGCCCUUCGGGGUGCAUCAUCGACCGAUCCUGAUGUCUUCGGAUGGAUUUGAGUAAGAGCAUAACUGUUCGGACCCGAAAGAUGGUGAACUAUGCGUGGAUAGGGUGAAGCCAGAGGAAACUCUGGUGGAGGCUCGCAGCGGUUCUGACGUGCAAAUCGAUCGUCAAAUCUGCGCA
rnacentral:rRNA from 1 species